UUAUGCUGAGAAAUAUAAAAAUGCUACAUGUAACAGUCUUAAAGAUUUAGCUGAGUUACAUACAAGAAACAUUUAAAUGACUGGAUUUGACAUAACUGAGAAUAGCAAAAUACAUUUAGUCAAGUCUGGGGCAUCCCAGCUCAGUGGGUGAUGUUUUUAGUGGGUAUACAGUGGGUAACUGGAACAUGAGGUACAUGCCUGCAACAAGGGGCUUGUGGAUUUGAACGCGAAUUAUUACAGAGAAAUUGACAAUCAAUACUCUGGCAUCAGCUCUGGUGUACAUUUCCACAGUCAAAAUGCCAAAUGCUCCCAAUUGAAAAGCUAACCAAGAAAAACCUUCAUGGCAAAAGGAGCUGGAACAGUAACGGAAAAGGCAGAGAUGAAUUACUUACAGCUCACAAUCCAUUUCAGCAUGAGUACAGGUGCCUGAUGUUUCAGUAUGAGAACAGGUGCCUGAUGUUUCAGCAUGAGAACAGGUGCCUGAUGUUUCAGCAUGAGAACAGGUGCCUGAUGUUUCAACAUGAGAACAGGUGCCUGAUGUUUCAGCAUGAGAACAGUUGCCUGAUGUUUCAACAUGAGAACAGGUGCCUGAUGUUUCAACAUGAGAACAGGUGCCUGAUGUUUCAACAUGAGAACAGGUGCCUGAUGUUUCAGCAUAAGAACAUGUGCCUGAUAUUUCAACAUGAAUACAGGUGCCUGAUGUUUCAGCACUGAGCACAGGUGCCUGAUGUUUCAGCAUAAGAACAGGUGCCUGAUGUUUCAGCAUAAAAACAUGUGCCUGAUAUUUCAACAUGAAUACACGUGCCUGAUGUUUCAGCACUGAGCACAGGUGCCUGAUGUUUCAGCAUAAGAACAGGUGCCUGAUGUUUCAGCAUAAGAACAUGUGCCUGAUAUUUCAACAUGAAUACAGGUGCCUGAUGUUUCAGCACUGAGCACAGGUGCCUGAUGUUUCAGCAUAAGAACAGGUGCCUGAUGUUUCAGCAUAAGAACAUGUGCCUGAUAUUUCAACAUGAAUACAGGUGCCUGAUGUUUCAACAUGAGCACAAGUGCCUGAUGUUUCAGCAUAAGAACAUGUGCCUGAUGUUUCAGCACUGAGCUGGCAUCUCCUUCAGAGUAACCUGACCGUUGCACGGUACUCCUAUUUAAAAUUUAGAGGACUAUUCAGACACAAUUUUGUUUUACAUUGGAAAAGUUAGAUGAUUUUUUCCCAGUUGAUAUGGUCAGUUUUUAUCUUCAUGUGGGAAGAUGAUAUUUGAUAAACAAUUUUACAUUUCAGCUAAUGUAUUAUAUGACCAACUAGUGAUGUUGACCGGAGGUAUUGGCACUUUCUCAAAUAACUUUGUCUUUAAAAGUAAGUUUAAGUGGACCGAAGUAUUUAAUCUCCACAAUUCUUAUUUCACUGCUAAUAUUACAGAAACUUUGUUUAUAUUGUUUUAUAUCAAAAAAUAAACUUGAAUGGCACAGACAAAAUUGAAAUGCUAAGCUCAGUGUGUUGUAGCACUGCUUUUUGCAAACAAACAGUUUG
ensembl:lncRNA